rnacentral:rRNA from 1 species
AGCGAACGCUGGCGGCAGGCCUAACACAUGCAAGUCGAACGAACCUUUCGGGGUUAGUGGCGGACGUGUGAGUAACACGUGGGAACGUGCCUUUAGGUUCGGAAUAACUCAGUGAAACUUGUGCUAAUACCGAAUGUGCCCUUCGGGGGUAUGAUUUAUCGCCUUUGGAUCGGCCCGCGUCUGAUUAGCUAGUUGGUUGAGGUCAUGGCUCACCAAGGCUAGGAUCCGUAGCUGUGCGGAGAGGAUGCUCAGCCACGUGUGGACUGAGACACGGACCCAAAUGCGACGGAAGGGAGCAGAAGGGAAUCUAGCGGGAGGGAGGAAGGUGUAACGCCGCCGUGUGGGGGGAAUGAGGAAGGGGGUUGGAUUGCGAAAUCGUUUGAGACGGGGCGUGAGUGACGGUACUGGGUGAAGAAGCACCGGCUAACUACGUG